rnacentral:tRNA from 1 species
GCGGGCGUAACUCAGCUGGAAGAGUGCCUGCCCUCCAAGCAGGAUGCCGCGGGUUCGAAUCCCGCCGCCCGCUCCA